GCCGCCUCUCUCUCUCUCUCUCUCUCUCUCUUUCUCAUAAUUCUCUAACUGCGAUCUUCAAAUCACUGAUUCGGAUCACUAUUCUUUGUCGCUCGAAGGCAUCGUCUCCGUAUCGAUCUGUUUAUGCAUAUACAGAGAUAUAGAAAAUGGAUACCGCGGAAGAAGCACCGCUACUACCACGACCAUCAAGAUUCGGAUUGGUACUAUUCUUAUGCAGCACGUGAAUCUUCUGGAGUACCUUCCUGGGAAAGGCAAUUUUGUAUUUUGGUAGGGUCAGUUCCAUGGGAGAAGGUUGUGGUUGCAAGACACUACAUGUUUUGUCAUAAUGAUGUGGUGAAAUGGAAUGAUUCUGCUGGUGAAGAAGCAUUCAACAAUGCAAAAGAACGAUUUUGGGCAGCAAUUAAUGGCCUUCCAUGUGAUAUCCCUCUUCCUGAUCCUAACAUUUAUAUAGAUGAAAUUGAUUGGAAUCCUCAUAUUGAUCCUGAACUAAUAGCUGGCCUUGAUCGAGAAUACUUUAAUCCUGAUGAAGGGGAAAAAGAUAAAAAGGUGGAGACUACAAAUGAGAAGGUGCAAAACUCACCUUCUACUUGUGCUAUUGGAUGGCAAUCUAAUUUGUUUGGCUGUGAAAGUCCUUGGGAAGGUAAUGUUUUGAGGGAUGUGGAAGCUUCAAAGGAUGUCGCCAAAGGUUGGGACCGGUGGGAUGGCACUAAAAAUGAACCAAGGAAUUUAAAUACUAUAAAAAAUCCUUGGGAACGGACUUGUACUCUAGAUGAAGGAAAAUUGAAAGAUAAUGCAUGGGGGAGUUGGGGGGAUAAAUCGAGGGGUUGGAAACUGCAGGAAGGCUGUAACAAGCAGUUUAAGAAUUAUCAGAGUCCUUGGGAACAUGGUCAUCAUAAUGUUGGAUCUGUAAAGGGGAAAGGACAGAGUGAUGCUAGAAAUAGUUCUUGGGGUUGGGAUCAUUGGGACACCAGCAUUCAUGAGUCAAGGAAAUUUGGAAGUAGCUACACUUCAUGGGAAGAUGGAAAAGAUGGAGGGUGGGGAAAUUAUGGGGAUAUAAACUGGAGAAAGCAGCGCAGAAAUCAGAAUGCUGGGGCAAAACAUUUGCCCCCUAGAAGAAAUGGUGGAUCUUUUGGAGCCUUGAAUGGUGGUUGCCAAAAGAGAGCAGGUUCUCCUCAGAAUUCAUCAAAGUUCAGAAGUUCAAGGUUUGAAGGUGAUGAAUAUGGGACCAUGCAUCAUUGGAGGAAGGGACCAAGUCAAAGAAGAGUCAGUUUUGCAUGAGAAGCUGGUGAUGGCUUUCCAACAUCUGGCACAAAGCCCAGUAAAACUUGAUCAAUCCUGUCUAUUUGUUACAGAGUUCAAAGACCUAUGUUUUUGACAAGUCACCAAGUCCCUCCUUUACCAUACCUUCUAUAGCAAAGGAAUGUGAUAGAUUUUUGUGCUCAAUGAUGAGAUAGAGGCUUCAUCCCAUGGAGGUUUCGUAGACUCUUCAUCAAAUGGGAGGACCGUCUAGAUCUAGAUGCUGCAUGGAUUCUUGAGGAUGAUUUUCAAGUCUUGGAUCUCGAGCUCUUGGAGUGGUAUUUGCAGUCUAUCUCAUCAAUAUUCCUAGCAGAAAUGCAAAGAUUCAAAGUUUUCUCAUCUAUUGCGAGAAUUCCAGCAUGAAGAUCUACAGAACUUGAGGUUGAGUUUUCUCCCACCAAAGGAGAAUGAUGGGGGACAAGAUAGGAAUAUUUAGAAGAUAUUAUUAAUAUAUAUAUAUAUAUAUAUUUUAUUUGAUUUAGAAUAUUUUUGUUUAGUUCUUUCCUAAUCAGUUUUGGAAAGAUUAUAUUUCCAAGUUUAGGAUGCGAAUUAGGAUAGGUUUUUGAUCUUUGAUAUAUUUCCUAAUUAUCUAGGAUCUCUAGUCUAUAUAAAUCCUUUUGGAUGUAUUACUAAGUAGACUUCGAUUAUUAAUAUUGAAUUUGAGAAUUGGUUUGAGUUUUCAAGAUUAUUCUCGUGUUCUUUGUAUCAGGUUCUGCAUUAUUAGUUCUGGUUGUAACUUGUAAAACCUCAUUAUGAUAAAGUUUGGAAGCAGUCAUUGCGUACUCUGCAUU